CUCGAGUCUGAGGUGGAGGAGACCAACAGCAAGAACAAGGAAGAAGCCGGUCGUGACCUGAAGCAAAAGAUGCUGAAAGACAGUCAUAAAACUCCACAAAUGCUACAUUCAUGAAGCAAAUGGCUCUACUUCCUUACAUGUGGAAUAAGGACUAAACUGAGCAUGUGUGAAGUGAAUCAGGUCAUUAUUAAUCUGACUGUCAACAAGUGAGGACCUCAC